CUCCCAAACCCCUGUGAACAUACCUUAUGUUGCCUCGGCGGAUCAGCCCGCGCCCCGUAAAAAGGGACGGCCCGCCGCAGGAACCCUAAACUCUGUUUUUAGUGGAACUUCUGAGUAUAAAAAACAAAUAAAUCAAAACUUUCAACAACGGAUCUCUUGGUUCUGGCAUCGAUGAAGAACGCAGCAAAAUGCGAUAAGUAAUGUGAAUUGCAGAAUUCAGUGAAUCAUCGAAUCUUUGAACGCACAUUGCGCCCGCCAGUAUUCUGGCGGGCAUGCCUAUUCGAGCGUCAUUUCAACCCUCAAGCCCAGCUUGGUGUUGGGAGCUGCAGUCCUGCUGCACUCCCCAAAUACAUUGGCGGUCACGUCGAGCUUCCAUAGCGUAGUAAUUUACACAUCGUUACUGGUAAUCGUCGCGGCCACGCCGUUAAACCCCAACUUCUGAAUGUUGACCUCGGAUCAGGUAGGAAUACCCGCUGAACUUAAGCAUAUC
rnacentral:rRNA from 1 species